AGAGUUUGAUCAUGGCUCAGGAUGAACGCUAGCUACGGGCUUAACACAUGCAAGUCGAGGGGCAGCAUUGGAGUAGCAAUACUUCAGAUGGCGACCGGCGCACGGGUGAGUAACACGUAUCCAACCUGCCGCUUACUCGGGGAUAGCCUUUCGAAAGAAAGAUUAAUACCCGAUGGUAUAAAGAGUUCGCAUGUUCUCUUUAUUAAAGAAUUUCGGUAAGCGAUGGGGAUGCGUUCCAUUAGAUAGUUGGCGGGGUAACGGCCCACCAAGUCUACGAUGGAUAGGGGUUCUGAGAGGAAGGUCCCCCACAUUGGAACUGAGACACGGUCCAAACUCCUACGGGAGGCAGCAGUGAGGAAUAUUGGUCAAUGGACGAGAGUCUGAACCAGCCAAAAGUAGCGUGAAGGAUGACUGCCCUAUGGGUUGUAAACUUCUUUUAUAAGGGAAUAAAGUGAGGGACGUGUCCCUUUUUGUAUGUACCUUAUGAAUAAGGAUCGGCUAACUCCGUGCCAGCCGCGGC
rnacentral:rRNA from 1 species